CCUACGGGGCGCUGCAGUGGGGAAUAUUGCACAAUGGGCGCAAGCCUGAUGCAGCCAUGCCGCGUGUGUGAAGAAGGCCUUCGGGUUGUAAAGCACUUUCAGCGGGGAGGAAGGCGGUGAGGUUAAUAACCUCAUCGAUUGACGUUACCCGCAGAAGACGCACCGGCUAACUCCGUGCCAGCAGCCGCGGUAAUACGGAGGGUGCAAGCGUUAAUCGGAAUUACUGGGCGUAAAGCGCACGCAGGCGGUCUGUCAAGUCGGAUGUGAAAUCCCCGGGCUCAACCUGGGAACUGCAUUCGAAACUGGCAGGCUAGAGUCUUGUAGAGGGGGGUAGAAUUCCAGGUGGAGCGGUGAAAUGCGUAGAGAUCUGGAGGAAUACCGGUGGCGAAGGCGGCCCCCUGGACAAAGACUGACGCUCAGGUGCGAAAGCGUGGGGAGCAAACAGGAUUAGAUACCCUUGUAGUC
rnacentral:rRNA from 1 species